rnacentral:lncRNA from 1 species
GGAUCCUGUGGGAAUAUUGUGAUGACCCAGACUCCACUCUCUCUGCCCGUCACCAAUGGAGAGCCGGCCUCCAUCUCCUGCAGGUCUAGUCAGAACCUUUUACAUGGUAAUGGAUACACCUAUUUGUAUUAGUUCCUGCAGAAGCCAGGCCACUCUCCACAGCUCCUGAUCUGUAGGACUUCCAAUCAGUUUUCUGCCUUCCCACACAGGUUCUCAGUAGGGUGGAGGCUGAGGAUCUUGGCUAUUACAACUGCCACCACACUCUACAAUAUCCUCCCACAAUGGU